CACGUAGGGCGCAAGCGUUGUCCGGAAUUAUUGGGCGUAAAGAGCUCGUAGGCGGACUGUCACGUCUGCUGUGAAAAGCUAGGGCUUAACCCUGGCCUUGCAGUGGAUACGGGCAGACUAGAGGUAGGUAGGGGAGAAUGGAAUUCCCGGUGUAGCGGUGAAAUGCGCAGAUAUCGGGAGGAACACCGGUGGCGAAGGCGGUUCUCUGGGCCUUACCUGACGCUGAGGAGCGAAAGCGUGGGGAGCGAACGG
rnacentral:rRNA from 1 species